GAUCCAGACUUUGAUUAUGGCUCACGAUGAACGCUAGCUACAGGCUUAACACAUGCAAGUCGAGGGGAAACGAUAGAGAAAGCUUGCUUUUUCUAGGCGUCGACCGGCGCACGGGUGAGUAACGCGUAUCCAACCUGCCCAUCACUUGGGGAUAACCUUGCGAAAGUAAGACUAAUACCCAAUGAUAUCUCUAGAAGACAUCUGAAAGGGAUUAAAGAUUUAUCGGUGAUGGAUGGGGAUGCGUCUGAUUAGCUUGUCGGCGGGGUAACGGCCCACCAAGGCGACGAUCAGUAGGGGUUCUGAGAGGAAGGUCCCCCACAUUGGAACUGAGACACGGUCCAAACUCCUACGGGAGGCAGCAGUGAGGAAUAUUGGUCAAUGGGCGAGAGCCUGAACCAGCCAAGUAGCGUGCAGGAUGACGGCCCUAUGGGUUGUAAACUGCUUUUAUAAGGGAAUAAAGUGAGUCUCGUGAGACUUUCUGCAUGUACCUUAUGAAUAAGGACCGGCUAAUUCCGUGCCAGCAGCCGCGGUAAUACGGAAGGUCCGGGCGUUAUCCGGAUUUAUUGGGUUUAAAGGGAGCGUAGGCCGGAGAUUAAGCGUGUUGUGAAAUGUAGACGCUCAACGUCUGCACUGCAGCGCGAACUGGUUUCCUUGAGUACGCACGAAGUGGGCGGAAUUCGUGGUGUAGCGGUGAAAUGCUUAGAUAUCACGAAGAACUCCGAUUGCGAAGGCAGCUCACUGGAGCGCAACUGACGCUGAAGCUCGAAAGUGCGGGUAUCGAACAGGAUUAGAUACCCUGGUAGUCCGCACGGUAAACGAUGGAUGCCCGCUGUUGGUCUGAAUAGGUCAGCGGCCAAGCGAAAGCAUUAAGCAUCCCACCUGGGGAGUACGCCGGCAACGGUGCAACUCAAAUGAAUUGACGG
rnacentral:rRNA from 2 species